GUGUGAAAGAGCAUUAGCAGUCCUCUUCAUAAGGAUGGAAGAGGCCCUAGUGGCCUGUACGGCACGCACACAGUUAGGGCACUGUCACCUACUUUGUGGCAUCUAACCAUGUUUGGAU
ensembl:snRNA